UACGUAGGGUGCGAGCGUUAAUCGGAAUUACUGGGCGUAAAGCGUGCGCAGGCGGCGCGUUAAGACAGGUGUGAAAGCCCCGAGCUUAACUUGGGAAUUGCGCUUGUGACUGCCGUGCUGGAGUGUGGCAGAGGGAGGUGGAAUUCCACGUGUAGCAGUGAAAUGCGUAGAGAUGUGGAGGAACACCGAUGGCGAAGGCAGCCUCCUGGGCCAGCACUGACGCUCAUGCACGAAAGCGUGGGGAGCAAACAGG
rnacentral:rRNA from 1 species